CCUACGGGAGGCAGCAGUGGGGAAUAUUGGACAAUGGGGGGAACCCUGAUCCAGCGACGCCGCGUGAGUGAAGAAGUAUUUCGGUAUGUAAAGCUCUAUCAGCAGGGAAGAAAGAAAUGACGGUACCUGACUAAGAAGCCCCGGCUAACUACGUGCCAGCAGCCGCGGGAAUACGUAGGGGGCAAGCGUUAUCCGGAUUUACUGGGUGUAAAGGGAGCGUAGACGGCGAUGCAAGUCUGAAGUGAAAGGCGGGGGCCCAACCCCCGGACUGCUUUGGAGACUGUAUGGCUGGAGUGCAGGAGAGGUAAGUGGAAUUCCUAGUGUAGCGGUGAAAUGCGUAGAUAUUAGGAGGAACACCAGUGGCGAAGGCGGCUUACUGGACUGUAACUGACGUUGAGGCUCGAAAGCGUGGGGAGCAAACAGGAUUAGAUACCCUAGUAGUC
rnacentral:rRNA from 1 species